GCCUGGGUGGCUCAGUCGGUUAAGCGUUCGACUUGGGCUCGAGUCAUGAUCUCACUGCUUGUGGGUUCAAGCCCCAUGUUGGGCU
rnacentral:tRNA from 1 species